UACGUAGGGGGCAAGCGUUAUCCGGAAUUACUGGGCGUAAAGCGCACGCAGGCGGUUCGCCAAGUUUGGCGUGACAGUUGUCGGCUCAACCGACAAAGGACUUCAAAAACUGGUGAACUUGAGGACGAGAGAGGAACAUGGAACUCCAGGUGUAGUAGUGAAAUGCGUAGAUAUCUGGAAGAACACCAAUGGCGAAGGCAAUGUUCUGGCUCGUUUCUGACGCUCAGGUGCGAAAGCCAGGGGAGCGAACGGG
rnacentral:rRNA from 1 species